CAUCGAAUGCUCAAUUGAAGAAUGUGCCUGAAUUGGAAAGGAACGAAAAAUUAUUAGCUACAAUCUAGAACUCUUCUCGAAUAGUUUGGAUUCGUCUACUGCACCCACCGGUAUCGUUAGCUUCACUGAUGAUGAAGAGUAAUACAUUUCCAGAGGUCGGUUCACCCUCCAAAAUUUGUCGUUCACCUGUCGUAAUGUUUGUGAUCCACUGAGAACCACUAGCUGACCUGGGGAUGGGGCUAUGUAGAUACAGAAGUUCAAAUGCCUGUGAGAUUCGGAUAAUUCCGUGUCUAAAUCAAGCGUUAAACGUGUCGCAAGAUAUUUGCUCAGGUGAUCAACUGUGGGAAGAAAAAACAGAUGCAUUGUUCAAGGAAAUGAAGUCAGAAAGUUGGAUGAGGCUUGAAUACCAGUUCAAUUUCAUUCAGCAUAAGGGGUUCUCCAGGACCCUCACCCUCUGUAUCGACCAUAGAAUCUCCUCCUCCUGUCUCAGCCUCUACACUAGAUCCAGCAGAAUCAUUUUCAGAGUUCUGCAAACUUUUUUGACGCUUUGGAGGCUUCGGAAUCUGAUUGAUCGGAUUUGGGGAUGGCGUUGUAGAAUUUCGAGAUGUUGUUCCUACAAACAACAAUACAUAUUGUAUUCAAAUCGAAUACAAAAUACUCAACUCCUUACCAGAGACUGCAGGACUGCUGGCCGGCUGAGAAACGCUAAGGAUUUGGCGUUGUACGCCCACUUGUAUUUCCUGCGCUGUACGAGGAUGCGCCGUUUGCAUUCUCCGAUUCAUUGGCAUUUUUCCGUGAUCUCUGUGGUCUAUUUUGACUCUGAAGUUUUAUGCCUUCUGUGAUGGAGUU